GACGAACGCUGGCGGCGUGCUUAACACAUGCAAGUCGAACGGAAAGGCCCUGCUUUUGUGGGGUGCUCGAGUGGCGAACUGGUGAGUAACACGUGAGUAACCUGCCCUUGACUUUGGGAUAACUUCAUGAAACUGGGGCUAAUACCGGAUAGGAGCUCCUGCUGCUUGGUGGGGGUUUGAAAUUUUCGGCGGUUGGGGAUGGACUCGCGGCUUAUCAGCUUGUUGGUGGGGUAGUGGCUUACCAAGGCUUUGACGGGUAGCCGGCCUGAGAGGGUGACCGGCCACAUUGGGACUGAGAUACGGCCCAGACUCCUACGGGAGGCAGCAGUGGGGAAUAUGGCACAAUGGGCGGAAGCCUGAUGCAGCAACGCCGCGUGCGGGAUGACGGCCUUCGGGUUGUAAACAGAUUUCGCCUGUGACGAAGCGGGAGUGACGGUAAUGGGUAAAGAAGCAACGGCUAACUACGUG
rnacentral:rRNA from 1 species